rnacentral:rRNA from 1 species
UACGGAGGGUGCAAGCGUUAUCCGGAUUCACUGGGUUUAAAGGGUGUGUAGGCGGAUUUUUAAGUCAGUGGUGAAAUCUCCGGGCUCAACCCGGAAACUGCCAUUGAUACUAUUAGUCUUGAAUUCUGUUGAGGUGGGCGGAAUACAUCAUGUAGCGGUGAAAUGCUUAGAUAUGAUGAUAGAACACCGAUUGCGAAGGCAGCUCACUAAGCAGACAUUGACGCUGAGGCACGAAAGCGUGGGGAUCAAACAGG